rnacentral:rRNA from 1 species
UACGGAGGGUGCAAGCGUUGCUCGGAAUUACUGGGCGUAAAGGGCGUGUAGGCGGUUUUGUAUGUCUGGCGUGAAAGCCCCGGGCUCACCUCGGGAAGUGCGUUGGAAACUGUAAGACUAGAGUCCCGGAGAGGAAGGUGGAAUUCCAGGUGUAGCGGUGAAAUGCGUAGAUAUCUGGAAGAACACCGGUGGCGAAGGCGGCCUUCUGGACGGUGACUGACGCUGAGACGCGAAAGCGUGGGGAGCAAACAGG